rnacentral:lncRNA from 1 species
ACCUCGGGGAAUAGUGGUACAAAUUUUAUUGCCUCCAAUGCAGAUACUGUUGCCCCUAACACUCCGGAAAUAAACCGAGCUUCACCUGAUACUGCCUAUGUGCAUGAAAUGACUUCCGAUGAAGGAGCCGAAGUUGUUGUUGGGGAUCAAAACCGCGGGAAUCCUACCUCAGUGAACAGUGGUACAAAUACUAACACAAUGUAGCCCACAAUAACCAGCUGUACAUGAAUAAUGGUGAGCCACCAUCCAUUCGCCAAUGCUGAUUGAAAGUUAACAUAUGAUGUCCUUGUGGUAAAAAGAUUAACACAGCCAUCAUCACACACAAUGGCAACAUCACCAUCAGAUACAACUGCAGCUGUACCAUUCUCUUCAUUCUUGUCUUCAUCUCUACCCUUUUUAUCUCUUUUAUACUUUCUACAAUCCUUUUGCAUAUGCCCAGGCUUGUCACAAUAGUAGCACUUAAAACCCUUCCUUGACUGAGAUCUUCCUCUUGGCUUCCAUUUGCCUUUUCUAUUGCUGGAUUCUCCAUCUUGCUUGCCGUGAGAGAACCUGUUUUGACUUCUCCCUCGACUUUCUGUAACAAGUGCAUGAGACUCGAAAGUGUUUGUCCCUUUCCUCCUCUUCUCUUCCUUGAGGAUACAAUCCUUCACUGUUUUCAAAGUGAGCUUUCCAUUCGGAGUAGAAUUGCUAAGUGACACUACCAAAGUCUCCCAACUAUCCGGCAAUGAACUCAAUAGGAUUAAUGCUUGCAUUUCAUCGGCUAACUCAAGGUUCAUCAAUGACAACUGAUUCAAGAACCCUUGGAAUACAUUUAUAUGCACUGAAGCAUCUUCACCAUCUCUAUACUUCAAAUUCACAAGGUCUCUAAUUACAAAAACCUUGUUUUGUGCACUCUCCUUGGCAAAGGUUUCUUCCAACAUUUUCCAAACUGUAUAGCAGUCAUGUCCUUGAGAAAUGUGAUUAAUGGACUUAGAAGAUACCCAUUUUCUAACAUUAGCAGUAGCCUUUCUAUUUAGUCCAUUCCAUUUUGCAUCAUCCAUAUCAUCAGGCUUUAUUCCUUUACAUUCAAUCGACAAAGCCAAAUCAUUGCAAUAUAAGUGAUCCUCCAUCAUUGUUUUCCAUAAAAAAUAAUUUGAGGAAGUGAGCUUUAUCAUGCCCGAUUCUUCCUUGUCCAUUUUAACUGCACAAGAAUUCAAUCUACACAACCAAAUGCUCUGAUACCACUUUGUUGGGAAAACUAGGGACAACUAACCGGAUCAAUUCAGCGGAAUACAAUUCACAAUUCACAAGUCCCAAUCCUUUUUCCCUCUUUGUGCAGUAAAAAACAGAAUCAAACAAUGAACAAAUAUAAUGCAACAAUCACACAAAUCAACACCAAGAUUUUUACGUGGAAAACCCGAUGCGGGAAAAACCACGGGACCGGAGUCCACCUAAAAACUUCCACUAUCACAAAUAAUGGGUUCACAAUAGUUCUUCCUCAGAUUCAACUAAGGGCUACAACAUAUAUAUCAUCAAGAACAACUUAUUCUCGGAUUACAACAAGAUUAAAGAGAGUAAUGUUAGAGAAAAGCUCACAACACUGACAGCCCCGUUUUCUAUCAAAACGACCAGCUUCCACACCACCAAUCUUCAAUCCAACCGUUCAGAAUGAAGAGUAACGUGUCUAGAAGCUGCUGUCCAAAUCUCAGCCCGAUCCAACGGUGAACGAACUGGAAAUCGAAGAAAGAAGAUAGACUGCUCUGCUGCCUCUUCUUCCUUUCUUUCUCUCGGUUUUCUCUUCUCUUUUUUGUUCAAAAACAGCUACUGCCAUCUACAGUGGCAGCUCCUAUAUUAAUUCAAAGAGACAGCCUUGCCUUGCUGUCUCUUACUAAUUAAUGUGGUGGUCCCACCAUCACAUGGUGCGGGACCACACACAACAUUUUAUUGCCUCCAAUGCAGAUACUGUUGCCCCUAACACUCCGGAAAUAAACCGAGCUUCACCUGAUACUGCCUAUGUGCAUGAAAUGACUUCCGAUGAAGGAGCCGAAGUUGUUGUUGGGGAUCAAGACCGCGGGAAUCCUACCUCAGUGAACAGUGGUACAAAUACUAACACAAUGUAGCCCACAAUAACCAGCUGUACAUGAAUAAUGGUGAGCCACCAUCCAUUCGCCAAUGCUGAUUGAAAGUUAACAUAUGAUGUCCUCG